AUGAGUAGAAGUAGCCCCCAAACACUACCUUAUUGGAGAGAAAAGAGAAAUCCAAAGAGAAAGAGAGAGCAAAGAAAAGUUAAUAAGCUCCCUGAGUGCAGCACCUAUUCAAUUAUUCAAUAUAUCUUAUUCAUCUGUAUUUUCUCAGAGCACCUAGGAAACAGGAGAUUCUUGGUGAUUAUUAUAAAACAGAAUCAGAAUGAUUAUGCAACCAUAGAGAAAAAUUCAAGAAAACCUUGGAAAUACAGGAGGUUUCUGUGUUUCCCUUGGAGCUUGACUUUGGACUUGAUCAACUAUCUGAGGGGAGUGCAGUCAAAAGAACAUCACAAUUUAGAAUCUCUAAAGGCGAAGAGUCAAGGCUCACUGAUUCUUGAACCUACAAUGAAGCAGUCAUCAUAACAAUUUGGUAUGUCUUCCACAAGUUUUCUGUGUGCACUGGAGAAAAGGAUGUAAAUCAGCAAAAAUAUUAUUGAAUAAUAUUUUAAGUGCUUAUUAUCAACAUCUCCCUUCAUUACAUAUAACAGAAAUCAAGUAUUUUCAUCCUUUACAUUUAACAUCUUUUACAAUGCAGAAUAUCAAAAACAUUAAAUGGUAAAUUGUGUUCAUGUCUACGCUUAUUACAUAUGUUUUUAUCUGAUGUUGUGUCUGUGAGUGACUCUCAGAGAUUGAUCUCACUAGAUUAAAAUAACAAGACAACACCUAUAUUUUUAAAAAUAUUUAUUUUGUGGCUAGCACUGUGUCAUAGAGGAUAACGCCGUUGCUUGCAGAACCAGCAACCCAUAUGGAGCUCAAACUGCUCCACUUCCAAUCCAGCUCCCUGUUGAUGCACCUGGGAAAACAGUGGAAGAUGACCCAAGUAUUUGGGCCCCUGCACUCAUAUGGGAGACUCAGAUGAAGCUCCUGACUCCUGGCGCUGGUUCAGCUCACCCCUGGCCGUAACAGCCAUUUAGGGAGUAAAUCAGCAGAUAGAAAAUCUCUCUCUCUCUCUCUCUCUCUCUCUCUCUCUGCCUCUCUGUAUUUCAAAUAAAUAAAUUUUUUAGUUACUAAAAUGAGUCCCA
rnacentral:lncRNA from 1 species